rnacentral:rRNA from 1 species
GACGAACGCUGGCGGCGUGCUUAACACAUGCAAGUCGAACGAUGAAGCUAGAGCUUGCUCUGGUGAAUUAGUGGCGAACGGGUGAGUAACACGUGAGUAACCUGCCCCGAACUCUGGGAUAACUGCUGGAAACGGUAGCUAAUACUGGAUACGACCUACGAAGGCAUCUUCUGUAGGUGGAAAGAAUUUCGGUUCGGGAUGGACUCGCGGCCUAUCAGCUUGUUGGUGAGGUAAUGGCUCACCAAGGCGACGACGGGUAGCCGGCCUGAGAGGGUGACCGGCCACACGGGGACUGAGACACGGCCCGGACGCCUACGGGAGGCAGCAGUGGGGAAUAUUGCACAAUGGGCGCAAGCCUGAUGCAGCAACGCCGCGUGAGGGAUGACGGCCUUCGGGUUGUAAACCUCUUUUAGUAGGGAAGAAGCGAAAGUGACGGUACCUGCAGAAAAAGCACCGGCUAACUACGUGCCAGCAGCCGCCGUAA